rnacentral:lncRNA from 1 species
AAAUGGACGCAUAAGAUACUACACUGUAUUUAACCUUCGUUCUAAUAAAAAUCAUAAAAUAUUUGAUCUCGACUUUUUGCAUUUGAGCCGUUCUGCAUUUCAUUUUUUUUUUAUUCUUUCACAUGCGUAGAUUUUGUCUUAUAUUUGCGUCGAUCUGCAUUUCAUUUUUUUCUUCUUCACUUGCGUAGAUUUUGUCUUUCGUUUGCGCCGAUUGUGUACAGGUUAGGUGAAAGUUAUUUUUAUGCCCGAUUUAUGGGCAUUAUGUUUUCUGGUCUGUGCGUCCGUUCGUU